rnacentral:rRNA from 1 species
AUGGUGACCGUGGUUGUGCUUGUGCCCUGGCUAGCAUGGCUCGUUGUGUCUCUCCUCUCCUUCUAUCUCCUCAACCUCCUCGCCCACGCGCGUUCCGGCCUCCCGCCGGGCCCCCGCCCACUGCCGCUCAUCGGCAGCCUCCACCUCCUCGGCGACAAGCCGCACCGCUCGCUCGCCCGCCUAGCCAAGAUCCACGGCCCGCUCAUGUCAAUCCGCCUCGGCGCGGUCACCACUGUGGUCGUGUCCUCACCCGCCAUGGCCCGGGAGUUCCUGCAGAAGCAUGACUCUGUGCUCGCCACCCGGUCCGUGCCAGACGCCACCGGCAAGCACGCGGCGGGCUCCGUUCCCUGGCUGCCCCCGGCGCCCAAGUGGCGCGCGCUCCGCAAGAUGAUGGCCACGGAGCUCUUCGCGCCGCACCGGCUCGACGCGCUCCACCACCUCCGGAGCGACAAGGUGAGGGAGCUCACGGACCACGUCGCGCGGCUGGCGCGCGAGGGCACGGCGGUGAACAUCGGACGCGUGGCCUUCACGACGAGCCUGAACCUUAUCUCCCGCACCAUCUUCUCCAUCGACCUCACCAGCCUCGACGACAUGAGCAGUUCCAAGGAGUUCCAGGAAGUGAUCACGGCCAUCAUGGAAGGUCUGGGGACCCCGAACUUGUCGGAUUUCUUCCCGGUGCUCGCGCCGGCCGACCUGCAGGGCAUGCGCCGGCGGCUGGCGCGGCUCUUCGCGCGGCUGCACGCCGUGUUCGACGCCGAGGUGGACCAGAGGCUGCACGGCCGCGACGCCGGCCAGCCCAGGAAGAACGACUUCCUCGACGUGCUGCUCGAUGUGGCGGCGCGUGAGGAUGGCAAGGACCUGCUCGACCGUGAGACACUGCGCUCACACUUUACGGACUUGUUUGCUGCCGGUAGUGACACAAGCUCUAGCACAGUGGAAUGGGCAAUGACAGAGCUUCUCCAAAACCCAUCAUCAAUGGCUAUGGUUUGCGACGAGCUCGCACAAGUUAUCGGCUCAAGAAGAAACAUUGAAGAAGCUGAUAUUUCUCGUUUGCCCUAUCUCCAAGCAGUCAUAAAAGAGACUUUUCGACUCCACCCUCCCGCUCCACUCUUGUUGCCACGCCAACCAGAGACGACAGUCAAAAUAGCAGGUUGCACAAUACCUAAAGGUUCACGCGUGUUCAUCAACGUAUGGGCGAUAGGUCGAGAUAAAGAUGUAUGGAUUGAACCUGAGAAGUUUAUGCCGGAGAGGUUCUUGGGUUCCACGAUUGAUUUUCGGGGUGUGGAUUUUGAGCUCCUUCCAUUUGGUGCUGGGCGUCGGCUCUGCCCUGGAAUGGCAUUGGCAAUUAGGAUGGUGCAUGUGAUGCUCGCUUCAUUGUUAAAUCAAUUUAAAUGGAGUCUCCCUGUUGAGCUGGAACGGGAUGGGAUUAAUAUGGAAGAUCAGUUUGGCCUGACACUAGCAAAGGUCGUGCCCCUUUGUAUUAUAGCAACACCCAUUUGA